CCUCAAAGGAUUGUGAAUAGUAAAUAAAUAACAUACCUAAAUUACAUUAGCCUAGUGUUUGGAACAGAGUAUGUUUUCAGUACAUGUUAGGGUUUUUCUUUACCAUUAAUAGGUGACACAUGCUGGGCUCAGCCACCCGAAAAGGCCCCAUUUGGUUGGCAGGCCCCUAACACUGCUGUUUCUCCCCCAUCAGAUUGUUUCCUCAUGAUGCUCCUACCGUGAUCUGGAGACCACACUGGGGCUUAUGGCGCAAGUCCUUACCUUGUACUCAGAAGUGUAUUCCGCCCUUUAUUUCUUAAAUGUUUUUACCAGAUCAUACUUAGCGGCCCGACUUCCUCUUUGCCCCACCUGCACUCAUUAGACAUUGCUGGACACGCAGAACUGAAUCUCUGCAGGGAGCACAGCUUGGGUCAGGCUGGGAUGCUGAUGCUCUUUCCCUCUGCAAGAGGAGUAGGGCCUGUGGGGGCACAUCGCCAUCCCCACCCUCUUCCACCACCAGCUAAAUAGUAACUGUGCACCGGUUAGGUCAUUCAACAAGUGAUGGAUGCUGGACCCAGACCUGUCCUUGUGAUGUUCUCUUUGAGGAGGAACAGGAUGUACAGAAAGGAGUAAUUAGCAUUUAAGUUUGUGUUUAGAUAAGGGCUAGUGAAGAUGGACAGAGUAUGAUGGCUACAGAAGAUCUUCGCAGACUAGGAGUUGGCU
ensembl:lncRNA